AGUGAACGCUGGCGGUAGGCCUAACACAUGCAAGUCGAACGGCAGCACAGUAAGAGCUUGCUCUUACGGGUGGCGAGUGGCGGACGGGUGAGGUAUACAUCGGAAUCUACUUUUUCGUGGGGGAUAACGUAGGGAAACUUACGCUAAUACCGCAUACGACCUACGGGUGAAAGCAGGGGAUCUUCGGACCUUGCGCGAUUGAAUGAGCCGAUGUCGGAUUAGCUAGUUGGCGGGGUAAAGGCCCACCAAGGCGACGAUCCGGAGCUGGUCUGAGAGGAUGAUCAGCCACACUGGAACUGAGACACGGUCCAGACUCCUACGGGAGGCAGCAGUGGGGAAUAUUGGACAAUGGGCGCGAGCCUGAUCCAGCCAUACCGCGUGGAUGAAGAAAGCCUUCGGGUUGUAAAGCCGUUUUGUUGGGAAAGAAAAGCAGCAGGUUAAUACCCCGCUGUUCUGACGGUACCCAAAGAAUAAGCACCGGCUAACUUCGUG
rnacentral:rRNA from 1 species